UACGGAGGGUGCAAGCGUUAUCCGGAUUCACUGGGCUUAAAGGGCGCGUAGGCGGGCAGGUAAGUCAGUGGUGAAAUCUCCGGGCUUAACCCGGAAACUGCCAUUGAUACUAUCAGUCUUGAAUACCGUGGAGGUAAGCGGAAUAUGUCAUGUAGCGGUGAAAUGCUUAGAUAUGACAUAGAACACCAAUUGCGAAGGCAGCUUACUGCCCGAAUAUUGACACUGAGGCACGAAAGCGUGGGGAUCAAACAGG
rnacentral:rRNA from 1 species